GACGAGGGUCCCUAGCGUUGUUCGGAAUCAUUGGGCGUAAAGCGUGUGUAGGCGGCUUCGAAAGUCAGAUGUGAAAGCCCUGGGCUUAACCUAGGAAGUGCAUUUGAUACUACGAAGCUAGAGUAUCGGAGAGGGUAGUGGAAUUCCUGGUGUAGUGGUGAAAUACGUAGAUAUCAGGAGGAACACCGGAGGCGAAGGCGGCUACCUGGCCGAAUACUGACACUGAGGUGCGAAAGCGUGGGGAGCAAACAGGAUUAGAUACCCGAGUAGU
rnacentral:rRNA from 1 species